UUUUUUUUUAUGAAACAGAAAUUGAUAAAAAUGGAAAAAUUAAAAAAACCCUCCCACUUUCCAAUUCAUAGAUCCUACGCCAUCCCAAAUUCCUAUCCCCAUAUUCCACUACCAAAUUGAAAUUCAAUGCAAGAAACGUUCCCACUUCCAAUUCAAUCCCGUCUCCAGGCUCGACGACCGCCAAUUCGAGAAGCGAAACCCAACCAUUUAAUCCUCUCUUGUCGUCGCUGUUGACCGUUCGACUCCCUCCGUCGGCUAUCCUACCACCACAAACGGCUGAAGACAGCAAUACACUUGGAAUUGUAAGGAGAUUAUUCUUGUUAUGUGCUGAAAUUUUAUAUAUGAAAUUUGGGAUUCAAUUUUUCAAUUUAUUAUUCAUGUUAAUUGCAACCUGUUUCCCGUUACUUCAUUUCCCAUACAUUUAUUCUUGUUUUUUAGAUUUUUGUUUAAGUUCUUAGAUGGUUAUGGUCUAUAGAGAGAGAGGUCUAUAUGUGUUGAGAGUUUCUUAUUUCCACACGAGUUAUUUCUUAUUAGAUUUUUUCCAUACUCUUCUAUACACGCUCGAAACUGUUACUCUCGAAAUUGUCAACAUCAUCCAUCUUCAUGUCUUUGAUCUUUCUGCAAUUUUAUAUACAAAAAACCGCAUUAUAUUCUUGGAAAUUCUCUGAAUUGCGACUGAAAAUAAAAGUUCUUUUUGUUGGAAUUCUUGGAAAAGAGAGUAGAACUUCAAGGAUGCUUACAGUGUUUGAUAAAGCAGUGGCAAAGGGCCCCGAAGCUUUGAAGAAUUUAUACACGGAUUCUACUUCAUUUUCGGCCCUGAAAGAUGGGUCUUACACAUGCCCAUUUCAAGAAAUUCAGUUUCCAAAAUAGAAAAUAACUUACCAACAUUAUUUUGGUGAAAAAAAAGGAAAAAAUAAAAAAUGGAAGCCCAUUUGUUCUUUGAGAGUUGUUCAAGUUCCAGAAAGCUGUUUUUGUUUGUAAAUUGUAAUCCAACUUCCAUGGAGAGAUUUAGGUGGCAGACUUACUGAAAAAAUUGGCCAAUUUCAAGCUUUAAUUGGAAAUUGGAAUUAUUGUUGUGUUUGCGACCUUGGGUGUCUUAUUCUUGUUCACUGCUAAUUUAUGAAAAUUAUUCACGUCUCAUUCGAAUUGUGUUGAUGAUAAAUGAUGAUACACAAAUAAUAUAAAUUAUGGACUAUUUUCGUACUGUAAUUUGCUUUUUGUUAAAUCUUUUUUUCUAUUAGUUGAGAUGUAUACGUAGUGCUACCUACUCGCGCUGCCUCGCCAUUCUAUUGUAUUGCUACUUUCUUCCAGUCCUCCAUUGUCAUUGGCCAGAGCAUUAAGGUUAGUAUAGCGUUCUGAUUUUAAUUCCCGUUCGGUGGCUCCAAUCAAUUUAUGAUUUUAGCGAAUUUGUGAUUUGUGAAUAUGUGAUUUGUAAAUUGUAAAUUUAUUGAUGGAUAAUUAAUUUGUGAUUUGUGAGAUUUAGUUGGCAAAUGUAUCAACAAUUCAAAAUAGAUACUACAUUAUUAAUGAGAUUGUAAUUUAUGAAACCGUUAAGCGUAGUAACUUAAACCAUUAUUGAUAGUAAGAUUACUUUUUCACUUGAAUUGAUUCUUUUCAUUAUAUAUUUUUAUCAGUUAUGGAAAAGUACUUUAAACGUAAAUCUGUGUUUCCUUGCAAUGAGAAAAAUCUUAAUGAAAGAAAUGUUCAAGUUAAAAGGGAUGGACGUGACGUUGGAAAUAAAAAGGAUGACGAACUUGGUGAUGAAAUGAAUGAAAUUGGUGGAAUUAAUCUUUGAGACGUCCCAAUUGAAACAAAUACCAGGGAUGUUGGGGAUGAAAGGCUUGAAUUUGAUGUUGCAUUGCUUCCUUUGGAUCCUGGAUUGAGGAUUCCAAUACAAAAUUUUGAUGCUAAUGUUCGAGAUGUAAUUCGAAGAGCAUAUGUGCAAAGGGGUCCAUGUCAGCCUCGCAAUUAUGAAUUUUCACCCAAAAAAAGGCUAAUAAAGAUAGGCGAUUUUGUGUUUCAUGGUAUAACGAAUAUCCUAGUUGGUUGGAAUACAGUAUAGCAAAAGAUGUUGUAUUAUGCUUAUACUGCUAUCUUUUUAGCUCAAGUGAUGGUUCAUUUAUUAAUGGUGGAUUCUCAAAUUAGAAAAGAAAGGAAAUUAUUAGAAAACACGUUGGGGCACCAAGU
rnacentral:lncRNA from 1 species